rfam:Gossypium raimondii Chr11_contig_1125, whole genome shotgun sequence.
UUUUAAAAAUUUCACCUAUUUACAGUUUAAAAAUCAGUGUACUUGAUGGAAUAACCGGACAAUGACACAUGACAUGUCACUUGUACACCAUGUUGACGUAUAAAAACUAAUUUUUAAGAGUAGAAAUAGAUAAAAUUUUUAACA